rnacentral:rRNA from 1 species
GAUGAACGCUGGCGGCGUGCCUAAUACAUGCAAGUCGAGCGAACAGACGAGGAGCUUGCUCCUCUGACGUUAGCGGCGGACGGGUGAGUAACACGUGGAUAACCUACCUAUAAGACUGGGAUAACUUCGGGAAACCGGAGCUAAUACCGGAUAAUAUAUUGAACCGCAUGGUUCAAUAGUGAAAGACGGUUUUGCUGUCACUUAUAGAUGGAUCCGCGCCGCAUUAGCUAGUUGGUAAGGUAACGGCUUACCAAGGCAACGAUGCGUAGCCGACCUGAGAGGGUGAUCGGACACACUGGAACUGAGACACGGUCCAGACUCCUACGGGAGGCAGCAGUAGGGAAUAUGCCGAAAUGGGCGAAAGCCUGACGGAGCAACGCCGCGUGAGUGAUGAAGGUCUUCGGAUCGUAAAACUCUGUUAUUAGGGAAGAACAAAUGUGUAAGUAACUAUGCACGUCUUGACGGUACCUAAUCAGAAAGCCACGGCUAACUACGUG